AUUUAUCGGAGAGUUUGAUCCUGGCUCAGGACGAACGCUGGCGGCGUGCCUAAUACAUGCAAGUCGAGCGGACAGAUGGGAGCUUGCUCCCUGAUGUUAGCGGCGGACGGGUGAGUAACACGUGGGUAACCUGCCUGUAAGACUGGGAUAACUCCGGGAAACCGGGGCUAAUACCGGAUGGUUGUUUGAACCGCAUGGUUCAAACAUAAAAGGUGGCUUCGGCUACCACUUACAGAUGGACCCGCGGCGCAUUAGCUAGUUGGUGAGGUAAUGGCUCACCAAGGCAACGAUGCGUAGCCGACCUGAGAGGGUGAU
rnacentral:rRNA from 1 species